rnacentral:tRNA from 1 species
UGGGCUAUAGCCAAGCGGUAAGGCAACGGACUCUGACCCCGUCAUACGAAAGUUCGAAUCUUUCUAGCCCAACCA